rnacentral:lncRNA from 1 species
GAAUGAAGAGGGGAAUGGAGCCUUUUUAAAGAGAAUUUGAGGGUUGGAUUCACACCAUUUGGUGGAAAUUGGAGGAGCCAAGUGGAGGCAUGGUGGGUGGGUGUGAGCUCCAUAUGGCAAGAGGUCGUUCAACGUGAUAACCGGCCACAUUGGAGUGGCAAGCGGCUGACAACAAGCUUGCUGGCAGUAGCUAGUGCAGGUGCGCCAUAUCGCGUGCUAUGCGCGCAUGGUGUGCAUUAUACACACGCAUGACAUGUGCUUAGGUAUCUUGUCUGAGUAGUGCACAGCGCGCAC